rnacentral:tRNA from 1 species
AAUACGACUCACUAUAGAUUACACCGCAUUGCGGUAUCAACGCGCCCUUAGCUCAGUUGGAUAGAGCAACGACCUUCUAAGUCGUGGGCCGCAGGUUCGAAUCCUGCAGGGCGCGCCAUUACAAUUCAAUCAGUUACGCCUUCUUUAUAUCCUCCAUAAUUUCAGAGUGGGACAUAUUUGGGACAUUAUCACCAAAAAUGUCGUCUAUUUUCCUCGCAUGCUCUGCUCUUCC